rfam:Solemya velum gill symbiont strain WH SV_sym_Scaffold_1, whole genome shotgun sequence.
CGUUCUCUGUGAUACGCGACAGUUGGCUAAGUAUUUUCUUGAGCCUUAAAAACAUCCUGGGAAUGUGACCUGCUGACAGUGUGCAUGUCCGCCUUGAGCGGAAAGCCUAAAGCAGCAAUGAAGUUCCCCCUUGAACCGCAAGGUUCAGGAACUGAUGUCGACAUCGCUAUUUGCGGGUUCGCC